GACGAACGCUGGCGGCGUGCUUAACACAUGCAAGUCGAACGGUAAGGCCCUUCGGGGUACACGAGUGGCGAACGGGUGAGUAACACGUGGGUGAUCUGCCCUGCACUUCGGGAUAAGCCUGGGAAACUGGGUCUAAUACCGGAUAGGACCACUGCCUGCAUGGGUGGUGGUGGAAAGCUUUUGCGGUGUGGGAUGGGCCCGCGGCCUAUCAGCUUGUUGGUGGGGUGAUGGCCUACCAAGGCGACGACGGGUAGCCGGCCUGAGAGGGUGACCGGCCACACUGGGACUGAGAUACGGCCCAGACUCCUACGGGAGGCAGCAGUGGGGGAUAUUGCACAAUGGGCGCAAGCCUGAUGCAGCGACGCCGCGUGAGGGAUGACGGCCUUCGGGUUGUAAACCUCUUUCAGCACCGACGAAGCGCGAGUGACGGUAGGUGCAGAAGAAGGACCGGCCAACUACGUGCCAGCCGCCGCAGUAA
rnacentral:rRNA from 1 species